AAAAAUGAAGAAAAACGAGGAAAGAGGGAGGGAAUCCUGGGAGCUUUCGUCUUGUUUUUUGUUGUUUUGCUGUUGUUGUUGUUCUUCUUCUUCUUCUUUUUCUUCCUCUUCUUCUUUUUGUUUGUUUUUGUUUUUUGUUGGGAGAGGGAGG
rnacentral:ribozyme from 15 species